GCUGUCCUUAUCUUGGGGUGAGCUCCUGUUCUAUGAACGCAUAGUGAGGGCAGGCCUGCUGACACCAUUAGCUAUACAAACUCACGCAUCACCCAGCAGGAAACUGCAGGGCUCGGGUGCAAUUUUUGGAACU